rnacentral:lncRNA from 1 species
CGCCCCCUUUUCCCUUUUCCAUUUUUUUUUUAAAUUUCUUUUCUCAAAUCCUCUUCCAAAAGCAUUUUGACCAUUUUCAAAUCAUUUUCACCAUUUUCACCCAAAAGCAAAGUUGUUCCAAAACAAAAACUCUACCACUUUGCUUUAACAAGCAAGACCAAAUUCCAAACAGAAUUUGAAUUACAAGUUAAAACUCAGUUCUAGGUUUUAAUUAAAUUCUUUUUGGAUAUUUUUGUAUAAAUUCCAUUUCUCAAAUUCCAUAGCUCCAAAAAUUGCACAAAAAUAUUCUAAAUUCUUCUCAUACAU